AUGCUGCAGGGCGAUGAGUAUGAACUUGCUCCUGGUAAGGUGACCAGGAGCAGCCAACUUGGUGAUGGGUGUUGCUGGAGUCAUGGCAACUUUGUGGCUCGUCGGAAGCGCUCUGGCUGCUUCUCUUUCCUGCCGGUUCCACGAACUCUCUUUUUCUUUGAGCACGUCUCUAGAGCUGAUUUCGAAGGAGUUGUCACAUGCAUUCCUUUAGAUGAACCAGUGACUGAAGCCUACACCUUUCUUGGUUUCCGUCUUGGGUGGGCGGAUUGCGUUUGCAAGACAUGCUACCGUCUCUUUAAUAUCCCGCACCCUUGUUUAAAGAGGACAUGUACAUGUGGAGAUAGCAGGGUGGAGAAAAUAUGUGAAAUGUGUUACGUUCGUAGUGGUGUGCUGCAUCCAUUCAGAGGAGAAUUCCAAUUUGGCUAUCACAAAUAG
rnacentral:rRNA from 1 species